rnacentral:rRNA from 1 species
GACGAACGCUGGCGGCGUGCCUAAUACAUGCAAGUCGAACGCUUCUUUCCUCCCGAGUGCUUGCACUCAAUUGGAAAGAGGAGUGGCGGACGGGUGAGUAACACGUGGGUAACCUACCCAUCAGAGGGGGAUAACACUUGGAAACAGGUGCUAAUACCGCAUAACAGUUUAUGCCGCAUGGCAUAAGAGUGAAAGGCGCUUUCGGGUGUCGCUGAUGGAUGGACCCGCGGUGCAUUAGCUAGCUGGUGAGGUAACGGCUCACCAAGGCCACGAUGCAUAGCCGACCUGAGAGGGUGAUCGGCCACACUGGGACUGAGACACGGCCCAGACUCCUACGGGAGGCAGCAGUAGGGAAUCUUCGGCAAUGGACGAAAGUCUGACCGAGCAACGCCGCGUGAGUGAAGAAGGUUUUCGGAUCGUAAAACUCUGUUGUUAGAGAAGAACAAGGACGUUAGUAACUGAACGUCCCCUGACGGUAUCUAACCAGAAAGCCACGGCUAACUACGUG